UUCAGUUUAUAGCCUCACGCACUAAAUUUCCUAUCCGACUUAAGUAUCGGAGGGGCGACGAGCACACACCUCGUUGCCUUUGUUGCAGGUAAUCACAAAUCGACCGUAUUCAUCAAAGUGAAGUUGGACAAUCAAGUUCGAGAUCUUUCAGGUGACAUUUUUUGGUAGCAUCAGAUAUAAUUUUUAAUUUGAAAAAUGUUGAAAUUUGUAUCUUUAGGUGUUCAUUUGACUCUAUUUUUCAUAAAAAUUAUCAAUUAUAAGGAUCUAAUUUGUUACAAUUGUGGAUAAAAUUUAUUUUCAUUGCCAAAAAUAAAAUAAAAAAAAGAUGGAAAACACUUUCCCACCUCAACCAAAGGAAAACAAUUUCCUUGAAAACCAAGAAAAUGGGUCGCGUGGGGGGUAGGGUGGAAAUUAAAUUCCAUGAAAAAUGUUGUCCAUCAAUGAUUUCGAUUUUCAAUGGAAUUGACUUGUAUGAAACAUGCCCUUAUUAUUUUGUUACCUCCCAUCACAGUCUAAAUAAUAAUUUUAUUCCUACAAGCCUGUAAAUUUUAUCUGCGAUCAAAUGAACCUUUGGCAAAAUUUUAAUUGAGCCACUAAUUUGAUCUAUCAACUCCACCUUAAUUUCAAAUUUCACCUUCCGUCACGUGUUCUCAACUCAAAAAGAUGAAAAUUGAUAAAUUAUAAAUUAGGAUUCAUAAUGCAACAAAUCUUUCACAUUAUCUCAAUGUAAAAUGUCAACUUAUCAUUAUAUAAACAAUGUAAUUAUUGUUGGAAAUUUGUAUGUGAAAUUGGUUUUGACUAAUUCCUAAUCAUUUAAGUGAGAAUUGUUAUUUUGUGAAUGAAAAAUUAAGUCAAAUUUGAAUCACAUAAAUAUUGCGAAUUGUUGGAAAAUUAAGUCAAAUAUUGUGGAAUAUUUUAUAAAAUUAUUUGAAUUAAAAGAUGUGUAUUUUAUAUGAAAGAUUAUGACAUUAUUAUUUUUUAAAUGAUGAGUCUAUUCAAAUAUAUAGACUAAUUUUAAUAGUUGUGUCUCUUCCAUAGAUUGUGAUUUUUGAAACAAAAUUUUUCAACAUCUAUAUAUAGAUCACACAUGUUUGUUUUCACUCAUUCGCUUUAUGAUUGUAUUAUCAUAUCAAUGUAUAUUCAUUUCAAAAUUCUGCAUAUAUUCAAAGUUAAUUUUCAUAUAAAGAGGGUUCAAAAAAUAUAAGUUCGUUGAUCUACGAAAUUUGGAGUGCUCCUAUUAGAGAUUUAGUCUUGCGGGGCAUCAUCGUCUUAAGUAAAAAGAGUUGAACUCUUACUUCGACCAAAAUUCAUAUUCAUGCAUCUCUCAUUGUACUUUACGUAUUAGAUUUUGAUAAGUCGAAUUUUUGUUCGAUAUUUAUGCACGUAAAAUGAAUGUUAUUUGAAUAUAAUUUAUAUACGUAUAUUUUUUUUCCAACAUUUUGAUACCUUUAAUUCAUCAUCUUUGUUCCUAGGGUGCACGUAUGGGAUGGCAACAAGUUCGGACAACUUCCAAGCUCGCAAGUUAGCUCAUCAAAAUUCAAGCUUGAGGUGCUCAUGGCUCAUUCUGUACAAGCCUUGACCUAGGUUGAUCUCAAAUUCCGGCCUAGUGAACCUAGGCCCAUGGGUUCAGGAGUCAGUGACGACUGGACUUGUUUCUCAGCUAACACAUUAUCUUAAGUUUGAUUUUUUAAUUAGAAAAUCCAUUUGUACAGAAAUGAAUUUUACAGAAACAAUAAAGAAAUUUCACAUAAGGUGAGCCUCAUAUGAAUAAAAUAGUGCAAACCCUCCCCUCCUCUCGCCUUGUGUCCUAUUUGGAGAGGUUCUGUAAUCCCUCUUUCUGUACAUGAAGUCUCGUCAUUAGAUUUUCUUAAAAAUAUUCAACCAAGUUGGCCCAUCAUGAGAUUGAGGCAGAAGUGCCAAUCGGGUAACAACAUAGUUUUUGUCAAUUUGGGAAGAGAUGUGUUAUAUAUGGUAACAAAAUAUUAAAAAUUUGAAAUUAAAUUGAAGUUAAG
rnacentral:lncRNA from 1 species